GAUCCAGUGGCCUUGUGGUCAGAGCGUCUGCCUCGGAUGCUGAAGGUCGCGGGUUCGAACCUCGACCGAUUCA